UAAACCUUUAUGCUGAAACAAAAAGUACGACUGACGAAAUCCCCAAAUCCAAAUCGCCUACAAGGCUUCUCUAAUACGAAUCGAUCAAGCUUCUGAUCAAUUUCUACCUCCCCCAAGUCUAAAUCGCCUGCAAAGACAUCCCCCUUUAUGUUCCACUCUCAAUUAAUCGACCAGGCUUCUGAUCAAUUUCUACCUCCCCCAAAUCCAAAUCGCCUGCAAAUACCUCCCCCAUGAAUCGACUGCAACUGCAAAUCCCAUGGCUUCUUGUUCAUAUUUGGAUUAGCUAGAUGUGGAAGAACUGUAGAUUGAGAUGGAUGAAUUAUCUUCGACCGACGGUUAAACGCGGUAAUUUUAGUAAAGAACAAGAAGAUUUUAUCUGCAAGUAUCAUAGAGAAAUGGGAAACAAGUAUGUGUGAUCGUAUUGUGCCGCAGAUGGUCAGCCAUUGCUGCAAAAUUACCUGGAAGAAGUGAUAACGAGAUUAAGAACCAUUGGCACACGCACCUGAAAAAACGCAUACCUGAACACACGUUCUAGAUGUUCUGAAAAAAGAAGAGGGUUCUGGUGAACAGAUUAUGCAAUUUGACAGAUUAUGUGCUGCUUCAUAAGACGCUCAUGGGGUCGAUAAUGGAAGACAUUGUGGCGACCCUCUUUGGCUGGCAUUAAGAGAGAAAGAGAAGCAAGGUUGCAAAGAAAAGCGGAUGCAACUAUUAAAAGAGAAAGAGCCAUGGCAUACGCAAGCCGAUGGAUAAAGCAAGAAAAGCAUCUUUUUUUAUUGAUUGUUAUGGUUUCAGUUUUCUUUUUUUAUUGACUGUGUUGUUUUAACAGGGGUGUGUAGUGCUAUUAUUGUAUAUGAUGGAUGAAUUGAUGUGAGUGUGUUAAUAAAUAGAGAAUAAUUUUUGUG